rnacentral:rRNA from 1 species
CAGCCGUAAACAAUGUGCGUUAGGUGUGUCGGUAACCACGCGUUACUGAUGCGCCGAAGAGAAAUCGUGAAACGCACCACCUGGGAAGUACGGUCGCAAGGCUGAAACUUAAAGGAAUUGGCGGGGGAGCACCACAACAGGUGGAGCCUGCGGUUUAAUUGGAUUCAACGCCGGAAAUCUCACCAGAUAGGACAGACAUAUGAUAGUCGGGCUGAAGACUCUACUUGAUGAUCUGAGAGGUGGUGCAUGGCGUCAGUGACU